rnacentral:rRNA from 1 species
CCUACGGGAGACAGCAGUGAGGAAUAUUGGUCAAUGGCCGGAAGGCUGAACCAGCCAUGCCGCGUGAAUGUCAGUGCCCUAUGGGCGUUAAACUUCUUUUGUGCGGGAGCAAUAAUGGUCACGUGUGGCCAGACGAGAGUACCGUACGAAUAAGCAUCGGCGCACUCCGUGCCAGCAGCAGCGGCAAUAUGGGGGAUGCAAGCGUUAUCCGGAUUUAUGGGGUUUAAAGGGUGCGUAGGCUGGGAGGUAAGUCAGAGGUGAAAUGCCCCCGCUCAACGGGGUGAAGUGCCAUUGAUACUGCCUUGCUGGAGUGCGGAUGCGGUGGGAGGAAUGUGUGGUGUAGCGGUGAAAUGCAUAGAGAUCAGACAGAACACCGAUUGCGAAGGCAGCUCACGAAUCCGCGAUUGACGCUGAUGCACGAAAGCGUGGGUAUCAAACAGGAUUAGAUACCCCAGUAGUC